rnacentral:lncRNA from 1 species
GAACACGACGGCUCCAGGUCUGGUGUCCGCUGCCCAGCAUCCGGCGUCAAGCAAUAUAUAUCCACUGAUCAGGUUGAUUAGAACCCGGUGCGCGGCCGUGGAAGCUAAAGCUAGGCUGCCGUGGUUCCAGCAGAAAUCCACCGCUGGGGAGCGAGGGCCCCAGGCCCCAGCAGCGUCGUUGGCCACCCGUGCCAACAAGCUCCGACCGGCGGGUGAAACGAUCUCAUGAUUCAGCGAUAAGAACACGACGGCUCCAGGUCUGGUGUCCGCUGCCCAGCAUCCGGCGUCAGGCAACAUUGUUGACGCCGGAUUUUGGCCGACAAAUCCAAGUAAUUCGGAGUGAGAGAAUACGAAGCGGUGUUAGGAUCAAAGACCGUCAGGUGCAGUGAAUUCUUUCCUUCAGGGCAAGCAUGCAAGAUCUGCGUAAUUGACGGGGCUGCCGAAUCAACUGUACGUGCCUACAAGAAUUGGUUAUUUGGCCAGAUAAGCAAAGAAGGAAGUCAUCCUCGUGCAAGACAUGGAAUCGAUGAGCUCUAAUGCAAAGGCUGGCUUCAUCGGAUUGGUUAAGCAAGGCAAUUAGAAUAAAGAAAGGCAAGGAUGGCAGGACAACACGUGUUAGCAAGGUCUCUUGUUAAGUCCAUGUAUCUGGUAUUUCCUUUUGUUUAGAUAUUUUUUUAGGUAAGUUUUGUACUAUGUAACCAGUCAUUAGUUCAGAUAUAAAUAUGUACCCGGUCAUUAUAGAAUAAUCAACAAUUAAUCAAUAUAACCUUUCGGCGCAACGCCGUCGAAACCUUAGAAGUAGGAGUAGAGUAGAUUCGACGAGUUCCUUCUAGCGCGCAAGGCUGCAUCGACUUCGAUCUCGAGUGAGCUUGUAAGUACCAUCACCCGGUCAUUACGACCUCUAUCAGAACUUUUUAAGUUAAG